rnacentral:rRNA from 1 species
AACGAACGCUGGCGGCAUGCCUAACACAUGCAAGUCGAACGAGACCUUCGGGUCUAGUGGCGCACGGGUGCGUAACGCGUGGGAACCUGCCCUUAGGUUCGGAAUAACUCCCCGAAAGGGGUGCUAAUACCGGAUAAUGUCUUCGGACCAAAGAUUUAUCGCCUUUGGAUGGGCCCGCGUUGGAUUAGCUAGCUGGUAGGGUAAAAACCUACCAAGGCGACGAUCCAUAGCUGGUCUGAGAGGAUGAUCAGCCACACUGGGACUGAGACACGGCCCAGACUCCUACGGGAGGCAGCAGUGGGGAAUAUUGGACAAUGGGCGAAAGCCUGAUCCAGCAAUGCCGCGUGAGUGAUGAAGGCCUUAGGGUUGUAAAGCUCUUUUACCCGGGAUGAUAAUGACAGUACCGGGAGAAUAAGCUCCGGCUAACUCCGUG